AAACCUCAGCAAUGCGGGAAACCGUGACUGGGCCAUCCCGAGUGCCAGCCGCUAAGGUUGGCUUUUGCCCAGAGCAGCAAUCUGGGAGAAUAAGCGGGGGGCAAGACUGGUGUCAGCCGCCGCGGUAAUACCAGCUCCGCGAGUGGUCGGGACGAUUAUUGAGCCUAAAGCGCUCGUAGCCUGCUCGGCUAGUCCUGUGAUAAAUCCGACGGCUUAACCGUCGGGCUACAUGGGAUACUGCCGGGCUAGGGAGCGGAAGAGGCCAGGGGUACUCCCAGGGUAGGGGCGAAAUCCUAUAAUCCCGGGAGGACGACCAGUGGCGAAGGCGCCUGGCUAGGACGCGUCCGACGGUGAGGGGCGAAAGCUGGGGGAGCGA
rnacentral:rRNA from 1 species